UAAUCAGCCUAGUAGUGGGGUUACUUCGCCUUCGAAAGGAACGCUAAUACCGCAUACGUCCUACGGGAGAAAGUGGGGGAUCUUCGGACCUCACGCUAUUAGAUGAGCCUAGGUCGGAUUAGCUAGUUGGUAGGGUAAAGGCCUACCAAGCCGACGAUCCGUAACUGGUCUGAGAGGAUGAUCAGUCACACUGGAACUGAGACACGGUCCAGACUCCUACGGGAGGCAGCAGUGGGGAAUAUUGGACAAUGGGCGAAAGCCUGAUCCAGCCAUGCCGCGUGUGUGAAGAAGGCCUUCGGGUCGUAAAGCACUUUAAGUUGGGAGGAAGGGCUUACAGCUAAUACCUGUGAGUUUUGACGUUACCGACUGAAUAAGCACCGGCUAACUUCGUGCCACCCCCCGCGGUAAUACGAGGGGUGCAAGCGUUUAUCGGAAUUACUGGACUUAAAGCCCGCGUAGGUGGCUUGAUAAGUUGGAUGUGAAAUCCCCGGGCUCAACCUGGGAACUGCAUCCCAAACUGUCUGGCAAAAUUGCGGUAUAAGGGGAGUG
rnacentral:rRNA from 1 species